CCUAUGCUCUCUUUAAAGAAGAAAACAGAACUUUGUGCUUGUGGAGGCUACAGCAAGGGACGAGUGGUAAAAAUAUACAUAACUGAACUUCCACAGGUAUACAGAGAAAUAAGCAUUAAGAUUCAAGUAGGGGAGGGGACCAUCAAAGAACGCUUCCUGGAUGUCAGAUGGGGUGAAAGGAAAGAGUGAGGAGGAGGAGGAGGAUGGCUGUAAGGAGUUUCUGAAAAAAAAAAAAUCCCUGGUUCCAAACAGCAAACGCAUGACCUGAAAAAAGGGAGUCUUACCUUUCAAGGAUGAAAGGGUGGCAGCACUUAAAGUCAACUCAGUUGAGGUAGUCUUGCACUGCCUCGAGUCUAAGAAAUGAGUCAGCAUGAUGUUUGCAGGAAAAUUCAAAGAAGGAUGGGUGGCCUGCUUCCAGUCAUAUGUUUUAAUUAAAAAAGCUAGGUGAGCAUGCUUCAGGUCUUGCUACAGCCACGUGUUUCUGCACAGUUAGGCGCAGGGUGUCGAAGGAGCAUGUCUUUGAACGCGGUAAUCUGCGAGAGAGUGACGGCUUCCUGGAAUGUGCCUUUCUGUUUUGAUAUCUCCCAAUGAAACGAGUUCAUCUUCCCAGGAGAAGAAACUCACAGCAGGGGAGGCAUACAGUGACAAGGCUGUCUGCCAGCCUACUAACUCCAUGAUUGUUUCCAGACAAGUGUAGUUGCCCCCUGGACAGCACGUCUCUCAGUUCUAGAGUAAUGGCCAAUUACCAGGAGGCAGUUUGUUGAAAGGAUGCAGCCAGGAAUUACAUAUGGCUUCAAACAGCCCUCAGAUCCAAACAUGUGCUCUCAAACAAACUACCUUGGUAGAUGAAAUACAUUUGAAGGAAACCAAACUGCCUCUUGAGCAUCGAGUGACAGUUGAGAAAUGCCCGAGUUAUGAGUGAAACGAGAACUGGGAUACUUUGCGUUUUAUUUUAACACUAACCAGAUAGAGUUUUCUAGGUUGGAACGGAGAGAUGCUUGAUGACAUGUGCCGUGUUAUUAUUUCCAUGCAUUCAGCUUUUGUCUUUGUGUAGUCUGGGGUGUUGGAAUUUGCUAGUUAAAUGUGGCAUUUGAAUGUGGAACAGUGUGGUUACACACAUCAAGGAAAGGAUGCAUUACUAUUCAUUCAUCCAUUACCCAGAGAUGGUUUUUGUAUGUGUGUGUGUUUUGUUUUUUGACAUGACACAAAUUUGACUUUUGCCAUGUGGAAGUUGACGUGUAACUUGCACCUGCAGUCCUUUUUAAAAAGGCUCAACAUAAGCAAAAAUAAAUAAAUAAGUCAUUUUCAGGACACCUAUGGGGAUUCAAAGCAGCUUCGUCUGCUGAUGUGUCAGGACU